GUGAAUCAUCGAAUCUUUGAACGCAAAUUGCGCUUCCUGGCAUUCCGGGGAGCAUGCCUGUUUGAGGGUCAGUAUUAAUAAAAAAUCGGCUUAGGUACAAUUUGUGACGUCUCCGGAGUUUGGCCUAUCUUAACAUUUUUGGUUAAGAGGCUUAGAAUUGACCUUUUUUGCGCUGUUUUAGACGUACAUAAAUUUUUUUUUUGAUUCGUCUAUUCUUAAUGCCAAAAUCUUAUUACAUUCGAUCACA
rnacentral:misc_RNA from 1 species